UACGGGGGGGGCAAGCGUUGUUCGGAAUUACUGGGCGUAAGGGGCUCGUAGGCGGCCAACUAAGUCGGAUGUGAAAUCCCCAGGCUUAACCUGGGAACUGCAUCCGAUACUGGAUGGCUUGAAUCCGGGAGAGGGAUGCAGAAUUCCAGGUGUAGCGGUGAAAUGCGUAGAUAUCUGGAGGAAUACCGGUGGCGAAGGCGGCAUCCUGGACCGGCAUUGACGCUGAUGAGCGAAAGCUAGGGGAGCAAACGGG
rnacentral:rRNA from 1 species